rnacentral:lncRNA from 1 species
AAUAAAUGUAACAUAAUACAAUGCACCACCUAGAGAUUUACUUUGCAUCAUGCAAACAUCAGUAUGAACUAAAUCAAGACUAUGAGUCUUUCUAGAUGCAGGGAAUCUAUGAAAUGCAACUCUAGUUUGCUUAUCAACUAAGCAAUAAGUACAAGGGAUAAGUGAUGUACCUUUCACGUUAUGUAAGAGCUUCCUUCUGGACAGAAUUUGAAGUCCCUUUUCAUUCAUGUGGCCAAGCCGCUUAUGCCAUAGCUCAGUAGAGGCUUCAUUUUCAGCAAUAUUCAUAUUUUCAUGAAUUAGUUUUGCUUCUGUUUUGUAGAGACCAUUAGUCUUCUUCCCUCUGGCUAAAACAAGAGAACCUUUUGUAAGUUUCCAAGAACCAUCUCCAAGGUGAUUAUGAUAGCCUUCUUCAUCAAGCUUUCCAAUAGAAAUCAAGUUGCAGCGCAUAUAAAGAACAUGUUUGACAACCCCGAUAAAUAACUUGCUACCAAUGCUAGUUUCCAAUUGUACAUCCCCCAUACCAACAAUUCUUGCUUUAGCUUCAUUUCCUAUCCUGAUCCAACCAAAAUCACCACUGGUAUAGGAUGAAAAGAAAUCCCUACGUGGAGUAAUAUGAACAGAAGCUCCUGUAUCAACUAUCCACGUAAAAUCCUGGCAUGAAAGGCUAGCAAAUGCUUCAUCACAAGCAACAAAUACCUCUGCAUCAGAUGCAACUGCUAUGAUCUCCUUUUGUUCUUUCCAUUCUUCACCUUUCAAUUUAAGCUGUUCUCUUUUCCAUUUCCUGCACUCCUUUUUAAGAUGCUCCAGAUUGCCACAAUAAUAACAUUUUAUCCCUUUUCUUAACUUUGAUCUUCUUCUACACUUGUCACGACUGUCAUCACCAUAAGAUUUUUUACUUCGGUUUCUCCCCCUUCUUUUUGUAAAAAGUGCUUCAGAGUUAGAAGAACCGCCCUGCUCCUUUCUUCUGGCUUCUUCAUUAAACAUACUGUCUUUCACCAUGUUGACAGUGAUUACACCAUUUGGAGUUGAAUUGCUCAAAGAGACAACUAAAGUUUCCUAACUAUCUGGUAAUGAACUCAACAGAAGUAAAGCCUGCACCUCACCAUCUAUCGUAAGCUUCAUGGUAGUUAACUCAUUCAACAACUUUUGAAAGCUACUGAAGUGCUCUGCAACACUAUUACCAUCCCAGUACUUUAAAUUUAUGAGCCUUCUGAUCACAAAGGCCUUGUUCUGUGUAGUCUUUCUUUCAUAAAGACUUUCCAAUUUCUGCCAAAGACUGUAUGCAUCUACUUCUUUGGCUAUAUGAUAGAAGACACUCUGAUCAAUCCACUGCCUAAUUUGUCCAAUAGCCUUUCUAUUCAAUUUCUUCCAAUCCUCAUCAGUUUUAAAAUCGGGUUGCUUUCUAUUCAAUUCAAUGGGAUCGAACAAAUCUUUGCAAUACAAAAUAUCCUCCAUCCUAGUCUUCCAAAUAGAAUAAUUGGAAGAUGUGAGUUUAACCAUGCCACUAGCCGAAUCCUCCAUUUUAAUUCUCACAAUAAUCACAGAGACUCAACCUCGCUCUGAUACCACUUUGUUAGGGAUUAAACUAAUAACACAACCAAAGCAGCGAAUACAAUAUCACAAUCCCCUAUUAUGCAAAAUCAAAAUGGCAGUAAAAUAACACCAGCUCCAACUCACACACACUGGCAGAAAUGUAAAGAUAAGAACACCAAUAUUUGUUCAAUAGGGAAACCGUUCAACGUGAAGGAAAAAUCCCGGGACCUAGUUUAGUAAAAGUCAUCCACUAUCAAAAUAAUGGGAUACACCCCCUCUCCAGAACACAAUCUAGAGGCUACCAAUGCAUCAAGAACAUAUAUAUAUUCUUGGAUAUCAACAACAACAUCAUACUAAAAUAGAUACACACACAAUAAGGAGAAAUUCUCACUAAACUAGUGUGUAGAGUCCAGAGAAAUGGAGAAGAAUCUGGACGAUUAGCUCCGAUCAAAAUGUAGCCAUCUUUGUCAAGAAUAACAAACUGAAAUUUCAGCUUAAUCGGACCAUGGAUGAAUCUCGAUCUUUGGCAAGAAGAAACUGAAAUAGCGUAGUCUCUCUCUCUCUCGUUCGGUCUCUGUUUCAGAAGAAAAUGAAGCUGCCUAUUUUGGAAAGUCUGCUGCCCAUUUUUCUCCCUCAAUUGUAUCUAUAUUUGCCUUUGUUAUUGGACCAUUAAAUGGGUUUAAUUGGUUUGGACUUUAGUGGGCUACUAAAUGGGUAAGUCCCUAAAGUGGAGGGAAAACCCAACAAAAGGAAGAAAAUGAACUGCAUUAUUUUCUCUUUAAGUCAGCGGCUGAGCUAACAGCAAAUUCUGUUGGUGAAUUCAUGACUAACAUUCCAGCACAAAGCUCUCUUCUGGCUACUUCAGCCACUUUCUCUGCACUCAAUAGUUCAUCUUCAAGUUGGCAACUUCCAUGCCUCCUCGAGGUUCCCGUUUCCCUCCACAGAUCUUUGAGCACUUAGUUUCUUGGAAGAUUUCCUGGAAGAAUAUUUCUCUAGUUGUUGUGCAUACAAGUAACCAACACCUGCUGCUGCAAGAUCAAGUCCAUCAAGUCCUAGAGCUUCCUGGAUUGCAUCAAGGAGCCUGGACCAUUGGACGCAAAUGUUAAACAUUGACAUCCCCCAAAAUAUAUCUUGAAUGGUCAUCUGUGAAUGAGAUAAAAUACUUCUAACCAUUUAGACAAGGAGUAGAAAAAGGUCCACAAAUAUCCAUGUGAGUAAUCUCAAGAAUGUCCGAAUUCCUCUUGGCACCUUUAGUAGUCUAGUUUGUCAGCUUCCUUUUAUGCAGUCAAUAAGUCCGAAAAUCAGUAAAGUCUAAGAGUUAGUAAAAGUAAAACUCCAUCAUUCACUAAUCUUUUAAGUCUUUCUAUGGAGAUAUGUCACAAUCUCCUAUGCCACAACUUAGAGGAGUUCUCUUUAACAAUACAAUGCUUAUUGCUAAGACAAUCACCAUGCAGUUCGGAUAAGUUACACUAACAAGUGGGAUCCAAAAUAAAUUUAUAUAAAUUAUCGACCAAAACAUCAUAUCCAACAAUAACUAAAUUGUGAAAUAAGCUAAAACUUCUGUUUUCAAAUACAAACUUGAAAUUAAAAGGUGUUAAUCUUGAAAUAGAAACUAAAUUACAUGAAAAGCUUGAAACAUAAAAAAGUGUUUUUGAGAUCCAAAUGAAAACUAGAAUUUUAAACUAAUCGAAAGGUUCCCACGCCUUCAAUUGUUGAACUCAACUGGUUUCCAAAAUAGACUCUUUGUUCAUUUGGUUGCGAUUUCCUUAGGUUCAAAAAGUCGUGCAUAAUAUUGACAGUGUGAAUUAUAGUACUUGAAUCAAUCUACCAUGUAUUGUUUGAAAAAUUAACCAAAAGAGAAUCAUGACACACUAAAGAGAUAAGAGUAUCUUUCUUUUCAAGCCAU